GGUAGAGUGGCUGAGUGGUUGAAGGCAUCGAACUGAUACUUCGACGGGGAGUCGCUUCUUCCGAGGGUUCGAAUCCCUCCUCUACCG
rnacentral:tRNA from 1 species